GGACACGUAGCUCAGCUGGAUAGAGCAAGUGACUUCUAAUCACUAGGUCGAGGGUUCGAAUCCUUCCGUGUUCGCCA
rnacentral:tRNA from 1 species